UUUUUGACUCUUUGCAUCACAAUAAGCUGAAUCAACCCAAAUGGGUUGAGUUGAUGACCACCGAAGUGAACCAAUUGGAGCUACACCAUAACGUAUCCCCUAUAAUUAACAAUUAAAAUAACAAUACAUUAUAAUCAAUUGGAUGAACAAGCAAAAUAAAAAUAACACUUUCAAGAGUAAGUAAACAAUUAGCCAAACUGAAGGGCCAAUUGAAAAUGAAAACAAUCUAAAGCCAUCUAUUGUAAUGUACAUUAACUAUUACAAUAAUUUAAAGAUGUUGCCAAACGGUCGUUUCAUUAACCCAUUCAGCUGUGUAAACUUAAUUGCGUCUUAAGGUUUAUUUUACUUUUUUAGCUGGACUUUCCAUUUAUUUAUUAGCUUGGAUACAAAACCAAAAUGUGCCCGUUAAACAAGCCAAAACAAGCUGGAACAAGAUCUGGUUUUACUGAUUCUUUUCAAACCAUCAUGUAUUGUCUAAUGAUUUAUGGCUUAAGGGUAUUGAAAGUUUCUUGUUUCCCUUGAAUCAAUGUUGUUAUAAACUCACAAGUUAUCGAUUAAAAUGGCUGGUAAGGUCAAAAGGAAAAGAUAAAGAUUAAAAUAGUCAAGCCAAAUGUUGGAGAAAGCAGGGAAAAUUGAACAAAAAAUGAUGGAGGCGUGAAUUUGGGCUGAUGAUAAAGAAAAAUAUCUUUAAGAGUUUAACUCAAACUGGGAUUGAUUGUGCUAAGAAAUUGUCUCUUCCUCAUUUUGCUUUCCCUUGUCUCGUUAUGCUUGUAACAAUCGGAUAUAUCUGAACAUUCAUCUUAACAUUUAACCAAGAACAAAAGAAGGAUAUUUCUCAUCACCAUCAUCAUCAUCUUUCUCCUUUCUUUCCCUCUAUUUUUAAUAUCGUAGCAACAUUAAUUUAAUUCCAUUGUUUUCACCAUCAUUAAUAUCUUUUUGGUGCCUCAACAAAGUAACAACAACAACAGCAACAUUUAUACACCAACAAGAACAACAAAACAACAUUAUCAUCAUGAAAAGUUACAACGCAAAAAUAGGAAAAGCUGACUGAAUGAAACAGCAUCAAGCUUUACAUGAUUAUUCCGCAUGCCUGUUAUUAUUGUUCCCAAGCCCACCCACCAAACGUUUUCUUGAAGUCUCUUGCAUGAUCAGCUACUAACUGGAUUACGAAGAUGACUACAAUAGAUGAUGGAUGGUAAAGAUGAUGAGUUUUAAUGCACACAAUCAACAAUAACUUGUACUAAGCAAUGUUUCCCAAAGUUUACUCGGACUCAAUCAUUUGGAUUUUUCAAAGCAACACAUUUCUUCAGCAGACAUCUAACUGAUCUACAGUAUGAAUCAACCAUGAAAAAACAAUUAAAACAAUUGUUUUCACCUACAACAGUACAACACUGUUAUCAGUACAUGAAUAAAAUGAUGGUUCAGUUAGCAAACAAAAAAAGCAAGUAAAUUAAGAUUUAGUGAAACAUAGCAUACAGUAUCCAUCAGCAACUUAAUCGUUAUCAUCGUAUAUAAUAUGAUACAUAUUAAAGCCUUUCAUCUUGUUUACUGAUUGUUCAUUACCCAAGAUUGUUUGCCGUUGAAAAUGUUACAAUCUUAUUAAAAGUAAUAACAUUUUAUUACAUUUUCAAUUUGCUUACAACAAGCAUAAGAUAGAACCAUCAUUUUCAAGCUUGCAAAAUUGAUUUUUAUCUUCAUUUCCACACCACCACUACCAUAAUCAUCAUCAUCACUACAACCAUCAUCAUCAUUCCAUUGAUUUAAAAAGAAGAAGAAGAGAGAAACUCGAAUCUUGCAAUCGUUUGACAAACAAAAAACUAUGCUUCACCAAAUUUACACAAACAAACUUCCAAAUCUUUUUCAAGUUCAGCCAACCUUCAAUGUAAUGGUGAAGGGAGAAAUUUUUUAAGAAAUGAUUAUUUUUAUUACUACUAUUAUCAUCAUGAUGAAGCUGACUAAAGCUAAUCAAAAUAAACCAUCGAGUACAAUUGAUUCAAAUAAGAUGAGGAAACAGAAGGUAAAUUCAAAUCAAAUGCAGUUGCCAGAUGAGGAUCAAAGUAAAAUAUUCAAUUAACCAACAAGGAUAAAUUGGAAUAAAAUUAAAAGCCAAUGUUUAUCAAAAGUAAAUUAAACAUGAAAAUUUCAAUUUCCACAAUCAAAUGUCUUCUCUUAUAUCAAUUCAACAGAUUAAUUGAGACUGAAACAAAGCGCAAUAAACAAUCAAGUUUACACCAAGCUUUCAGGUGAAAAGGGAAACU